ACUUCACCUACAGGGAAAUAGCUUUCUCUCACAAUUGCUGAAUGCUGAGAGUCUUCGCUGGAAGCAGUUGUGCCAGCAAAAAUCUCAUCAGAUUGUUUAGCCCCUAAGAACAGAGGAAGAACCUACCCUUAAGACUGAGUUAGACCUCCAGAAACAGAGCCCCAUUUAACAAUACCUCAUUUGUCCCUGGCCCAGUGAAUUGAUGAGGCUGUGGGUUGUGCUCCAUACGUGUAGGAGAAGCGAAGGGCCUGGGAACCAGGCACUGGGAAGCUCGCAAUCCAUGCAGGAGGUUCCAAGGAGGCUCCCAGGGGCCAGGUCCCGAGGAUGAGUCACACCACCGAGCCAGACCCAGGCCUUAGCAUCUUGCCUUCCACAUAGCAAGUGUUCAACAAAUACCAUUGAAGGGAUGGAAUGAUGAAAGCAUUAAACAUUUAUUGAGUGCCUUCUGGAGAGUGGGCUGAAGAGACAAUAAAUACAAGAAUCUCUAUGGGCUGGCCUGGUGGCACAGCGGUUAAGUUUGCACGUUCCGCUUCUCAGCAGCCCAGCGUUCUCCAGUUCGGAUCCUGGGUGCGGACCCGGAACCUCUUGGCAAAAGCCAUGCUGUGGGCACAACUAUUUUCUUUCAUACCAUUGUGGAAUUUCCGAAGUUGGAAUUGCUGACUACGCCAGAGAACUGCUUUGCCGAGCCAUGCGCCUUGAGAAAGACGGUCACACCUACCUCCUCUGUCAAUGUGUGAAUGUGAAGUUGGCAAAAAUGCCAAAGGGACAUGACUUCGGUAAUUUCCUCUCAGAACACACUUCACUAGUUUUCAAGUUGAGUUACAUAGACAGGGCCCUCCUCAUUUCAAAAUUGUUUUCAAGUUGGCUCACAAUCAAACUAACAAAACAAGCAGAUACGUGAAGAAUGAAGUCAAUGAGCAUGAAAUAGAAAGGAAUGAAGAUGGUAGAGGGUAUGGGGGCAAAGCUCUGCUGAGAAUUCUUGGAUGAGAGAGAAAAUGCACAGGAACACAGAAACUGUUAACUAACGCAUCUCGCUCUAAGCUUCCUUGUCUUGUCAGAGCCAAGGCAAGAAGGAAAAUGGCAGGAUUCACACCAUCUAGUCGUAGUAAACCUUGCUGCUUAUCCGGUAAAAUAACGUUCCUUGGCCCUGAACUUUGAAAGCGGAUAUUCGUAUAAAGAGCAAAGUUAUUAAUAAUAUCCCUGAUUUAAAAUUUGCCAAAAAGACGGUUACUCCAAGUUGCUGUUUCUUUCAACAAUCCUUGACGGGAGAAGAACCAGAUCCUGCAAAUCUGAGUCAGAAGCUUUGUGCGUCUUUGAGAGGCAGAGAAUGGGGCUCAGCUUAUUCAUUCUGGAGGUCUGGCUUAAUAUUGGGAUAAAGACUGAGUAACCUGAGAAACCGGUCACCACAGCCGCUGGUCUCUGGGCAAACGCUGCCUCUGAAGGUGGUGAGUCACUCUCAGCAGACAGGUGCUCUACCUGCUGCUCUGAGGGAGAGGCACGUGCUCUGCUUCCCAGCUGUGCAUGGGGGUGCAGUGGGGGGCUUCACUGCCUUCCUUGGCUCCUUGCAUCUCCCCCUCUCCACUGGACCCCACUGUCGCCUCUUGUUGCACCCACUAUGAUCUGCACAGACCCACACUAUGAAUUUCUUGUCAUUUUUUGCCCCUUGUGCAGUGGUAAAGUUCUCUCCCUCAUGAGAACCCUCUUU
ensembl:lncRNA